rnacentral:lncRNA from 1 species
GCAGGAGAGAUCAGAGUGGUCCCAGCCCAGAAGCUGCAGCCAGUACUGUCCACCCCCUGCUGGAAUGAAGUGCUCAGAAUCCCCCUCGCCAACCGCCAACCUUUCCACGUGGAUGCCCCCAUGCUGUUCUAGUUAAUAGGCAAGGAUACCCUGCUGCCCCAUUUCACCUGCUCCCCCAGACACAGCCAGUCACUGCCUCCCGGAACCUCUCACACCACAGGGGAGCUCCUCUCAGAAGCCAGAGCAGGGGGGCGGGCGAUGCAGCCAUCAAGAGAGCACAAGAGGCUUCUGCCAGAUCAGAGGGAAGGAUUCUGAGGCUCUUCCCACCGUUAACAUAAUGAGGGGGUAACCUGGUAUUUAAAUCCCGGCCAAAGAGGGCCCUCACGCCUUCCCCCUCCACCACCCCACCUAGAAGCCAGUGCCCUCACCUCUUCCCCCUGCCUGAACACCCACCCUCCAGACAGUGUCUGCAAUGAGUCUGCUGCCCGCAAGCAUGAUGGCGUGAACUGAGGUAUGAGUGUUGAAUGUCAGAGACCUGGUUCCACUUGGCUCUUCCUCCAAGGACCUUGGACAAGACCUUUUCACUGUGGGUCUCCGAGUUCCCAGCUCUAAAACUAGUGGGGGUUCCACCUAAAUUAGUUCUU